CCUUUUCUCCUCUUCGGAAGAGGAGGAAAUCCUUGACACUUUCUUCUGUCAGCAUGUUUCACAAUGUGGACUUUAUGUCCAUGGUGAAGGAGACCGAAGUUGUGCCUUCAUCAUGGGUCCAGGAUUGCAUGAGCUACUGGCCCCCUUGUACAUCCACAGAACAAUGCACAAGAGCAGUGAAAUGUCAAGAAGCACCUGAUGAAACAUGGGAUUUGUCUGAUGUGAACAUCAGGUACACUAGAGACUCAUAUCAAGAGGCUUGCCUUAAGCUUCCCAUGGCUGUGGUUCAAUCUGAUCUUCAGACUGAGGAGGAGGAUGACCGCCCCGCAUAUUUGAAGAGAAAAGGGGCACAAAUACGCAAAUGAAAGUGCGGAUGAGGAGCCAAUGGAAAAUUUUUCACGCAAGGGCCAGUCAAACACUGGCCCUUGCCAGGUUUGCCACCUGCACCAGUUAUCAGACCUCCAGAGGACAGAUGAGAGACACCUGGGAAUUCUGAUAGUCCAACAAUGAUUGAGCCAAACAUUCAUCAGCAGCAGCCAGUGCGUGAUCGUGUUACAUGUAAGCUGCAAAAGCUCCAGGCGAACAGAUCAACCGUGGAUGAGGUUCCAGAUUUGACAGACCAUCGACAUACAAUGUCCUCGCUGGAAUACUUGAGGAGAGUUGAGGGCCAACUUUCAGAUCAAGACUUGGAAAAGGACCUGGCCAAAUAUUUGGGACUAUCUGGAGGGAUCACCAAGAAGAAUGUGUGGAGAGGGGCCAAUGGGAAACAGGUUUUUGAACCUCUUGCCUUAAAGUGUUAUCGGUAAAUUUGCUUUCAAGGCCACUGCAUGGGGCAGAGAGGCAUAAAGUAUUUAUUAAAUAAAACAGGCCAGCAUGUCAAUUUUAUUGUCAGCAGGGAAUUUCAUUAUUACAAUACAGUUUAAGGCAGGACGAAUAUCAUGAACUGGAAAUAUUUUACAAAAAGCCAUUGAAACAAUUUUGUAGGGGAGUUGCAUAAACUGAGUAAUUUCUGGGAGUAUUUUCUCUCUUUCUGAUUUUUACAAAGGUGCUGUGCAUCGCAGCCGUUCUGAAGUUCCUGAUGUGGAGACACAUCAUAAAACAAUGGAUGCAGCUAGUCCCUAACAGAGAUGGAGGGAGAAAAAGGAGAGAGUGAGAAUUGAUGUAGAAAACUGCAUGCCUACCACAGCUUAAAUAGAAAACUUAAAUAGACAUAAUCACUACUUCUCAUUGUUACUGUGAUCAAAAAAUGUAAUUAACAUUCAAAUAAAAUUAAAGAGUCAUUCCUGUUUAAGUAGUAUUUUAGCAUCUUGAUACUUUGUUGGCAAUUGAUUAGCAUUAACUUUGGAUGGGUAGAAUUUGUAUGUAUAAAAUGUAUAAUAGUCAUAUUUAAAAUAAUUACAUCUGGUAAUUUUGUAUACAUUUCUUUAAUUUUGCAUCGGGCUACUUCUCGGGGGGAUUCUGGUAAAAUGCUGGCUGGCAAAGUCGGCUGAAUUCUGGUAGACAGAAAACGAUCCGAUGUACUUGGGCCGAUUCUGGGCAGUCGUUCAUUUUGAUUCCGGGCCGAGUCCGACACCCGACUCAAUCUGUUCAGGGGCUGCUUCUGGGAAGAUUCCUCAUUGCUAGCUGGGAUGCAGUCAAAUACUCAUGUUUCUAGUUUGACCAGCUGUUUUCAAGAACUGAAAUGUUGAAUUUGGUUGUCAAAUUGGCGGGUUUAUGAGCAACAAACUGUUUAAAUAGCUUAUAGCCUAUUGUUUGAUAUGCAAUGUGAUCUCUUAGCAGUCAGUGUUGAUGAGUGUCCUGAUGAGAAGGCAAACUUUUCUAGCUAUGUCAGGCAUUAUCAGCUCAUUGUUAUGGAUGUAUCCAAAUGAAUGUUAUUAGAAAACAGCUACUUUGCUGUUAUUACGGCUGCAGAGGUCGAGACUGUGUUAGCCAUAGCUAGCUGGCUAGCUAGCAAGCAAGGGAUAAGAAUGUUAUAUAAAUGAACAUUUUGACAAACAUUUUUAAAUGUGUGCUUAGUAUUGUGUUCUUUGGCAGCUGUGGAAUAAAUAGCUUAAACAAAC